rnacentral:rRNA from 1 species
AGGACGAACGCUGGCGGCGUGCUUAACACAUGCAAGUCGAGCGGAAAGGCCCUUCGGGGUACUCGAGCGGCGAACGGGUGAGUAACACGUGAGUAAUCUGCCCCUAGCUCUGGGAUAGCUCCGGGAAACCGGGAUUAAUACCGGAUACGACCACCUUAGACAUCUUUUGUGGUGGAAAGAAUUUCGGCUAGGGAUGAGCUCGCGGCCUAUCAGCUUGUUGGUGGGGUAAUGGCCUACCAAGGCGACGACGGGUAGCCGGCCUGAGAGGGCGACCGGCCACACUGGGACUGAGACACGGCCCAGACUCCUACGGGAGGCAGCAGUGGGGAAUAUUGCGCAAUGGGCGAAAGCCUGACGCAGCGACGCCGCGUGGGGGAUGAAGGCCUUCGGGUUGUAAACCCUUUCAGCAGGGACGAAGCGAAGUGACGGUACCUGCAGAAGAAGCGCCGGCUAACUACGCGCCAGCAGCCGC